CCUACGGGUGGCUGCAGUGGGGAAUAUUGGACAAUGGGGGGAACCCUGAUCCAGCCAUGCCGCGUGUGUGAAGAAGGCCCUCGGGUUGUAAAGCACUUUCAGUGAGGAAGAACGCCUGGUGGUUAAUACCCAUCAGGAAAGACAUCACUCACAGAAGAAGCACCGGCUAACUCCGUGCCAGCAGCCGCGGUAAUACGGAGGGUGCGAGCGUUAAUCGGAAUUACUGGGCGUAAAGCGCGCGUAGGUGGCUUGAUAAGCCGGUUGUGAAAGCCCCGGGCUCAACCUGGGAACGGCAUCCGGAACUGUCAAGCUAGAGUGCAGGAGAGGAAGGUAGAAUUCCCGGUGUAGCGGUGAAAUGCGUAGAGAUCGGGAGGAAUACCAGUGGCGAAGGCGGCCUUCUGGACUGACACUGACACUGAGGUGCGAAAGCGUGGGUAGCAAUCAGGAUUAGAUACCCGUGUAGUC
rnacentral:rRNA from 1 species